AAAAUGGUGUGGAACAUUCUCGUCUGUGAAUUCCUCAUAAUUUUAAGAAUACUACAGGGAUACGCAUUCCGUAAGCCACAGAUAUUGACAGAAAGUACAGAACCCCUGAAAGCCGUGUUGUCACAAGUAAAUGGCCAGAGUUUUUCAUAUAUUGUUUUCAAGGAUACCAGCUCUGCCGCGUUAUAUAACUACAAGGAUGUGUUUGGAAACCAAACGUCAAGAGGUCUUACUAUCUUCAAAGAAGGGGUGAAAAAUUUGUUGCCAACGAU